rnacentral:sRNA from 1 species
CCGCGGAUCACCCGGAGUGCCUCGAGGCCGUCCUCGACG